CCUACGGGAGGCUGCAGUGGGGAAUAUUGGGCAAUGGGGGGAACCCUGACCCAGCGACGCCGCGUGAGGGAAGAAGGUUUUCGGAUUGUAAACCUCUGUCCUUGGUGAAGAGGAGAAGACGGUAGCCAAGGAGGAAGCCCCGGCUAACUACGUGCCAGCAGCCGCGGUAAUACGUAGGGGGCGAGCGUUGUCCGGAAUGAUUGGGCGUAAAGGGCGCGUAGGCGGCCAUGCAAGUCUGGAGUGGAAGUCCAUCUUUCAAGGGUGGAAUUGCUUUGGAAACUGUGUGGCUGGAGUGCAGGAGAGGUUAUCGGAAUUCCCGGUGUAGCGGUGAAAUGCGUAGAGAUCGGGAGGAACAUCAGUGGCGAAGGCGGGUAACUGGACUGCAACUGACGCUGAGGCGCGAAAGUGUGGGGAGCAAACAGGAUUAGAUACCCUGGUAGUC
rnacentral:rRNA from 1 species